AAUGGGUUGACAGUCAUUCAUCAAGCCAAUCGUAGCCAUGAGGCCUAAAGGCACUCAACCAAUAAUGCAUGCUGCAUCCACGAGCACUCAAGGCACCAAUGGUCUUACUUUGGNNNAUGGGCAAAAUUCCAUGCAAUCAUCCAAAAGGCCAUAGGCGCCACCAUGCACCCACUCCUAUACCGCACAAAACGGAGAGAGGGGGAGAGAGAGUAUAGCACCGAGUCAUAUUUCUCUUUUGAAAGACUAGUAAAUAGCACAGGCAAAUUUUUUGGCACCAACAGCAACAAUGGACNNUAUAAUGAAGAAUUGCACUAAUUUCGGUUGGGUGCACAAGGCACAGAGCCCGCCAUUAUAUGCAACUAUUAAACAACUUAUGUGC
rnacentral:misc_RNA from 1 species